GUCUCCCAAAAUUAGUCAAAAUUGUGCCUGCAGCUGAAGCCAACCGAAGAUGCACUAAGCUUUUAGGGUCUUAAGAUUUUCUUUAGCCCUCUGUAAGUUGGAAUUCGCUAAUAGUCCAAGGUUGGAAAUCUGACAAGCCAGCAGUUGGAGGACUGACUUCCCUGGAAAAAUGCCCAAGGACCCUGAAUCUCUCAGACAAUACUUGCACAGGGUGACCUUGGCAUAGCUACUUAAACAUUUUAAGCCUCAGUUUCCUCACCUGAAAAAAGGGAACCUAGAAAUGAGACAUUCGUAUGUAGAAAUGGUAGGUGCUGUGUUAAUCUCAGGAUAGUUUUCUUUUUUAAACAGCUUUAUUGAGAUACAAUUCACACACACUGCAUCCAAUUCUCUCAUUAAAGUAUACAAGUCAGUGAUUUUUGUGUAUUCACAAAUAUAAG
rnacentral:lncRNA from 12 species